rnacentral:rRNA from 1 species
GGUUGAUCCUGCCAGUAGUCAUAUGCUUGUCUCAAAGAUUAAGCCAUGCAUGUCCAAGUAUAAACGAGUUUAUACAGUGAAACUGCGAACGGCUCAUUAAAUCAGUUAUAAUUUAUUUGAUAGUACCUUACUACUUGGAUAACCGUGGUAAUUCUAGAGCUAAUACAUGCAAAAAAACCCGACUUCUGGAAGGGUUGUAUUUAUUAGAUAAAAAACCAACCUGGGCAACCAGUUCUUUGGUGAUUCAUAAUAACUUGUCGAAUCGCAUGGCCUUGUGCCGGCGAUGGUUCAUU